AGAGAAAAGGGAGAAAUUAAAAGAGAAUUAAACACAUCCUUUGUUUCUGAUUCAAUGAAAAUAUAUAUAUAAGUGAUGACACAUGCCGAUAGUUCAAGCAGGGUAACGGUUAGUCCUUAGUUAUCUCAUAUGACCAUAUUUAGUGUACUAGGGUCGUGUCAUUUCAUUAAUGGCUGAAUUUUAAGAAGGAGGAGCGUAUAAAAAUAGGGGAAAGGUUUUCUGGGAGUGGAUUUUCUUACAGAUUUCACAACAACUGAAACCACUUUACACAGCAACAUCACAGAAGCGGCCCGAUCCUCCACAGAUUCAGAAGCAGCUGUAAAAUCGGAGAAUCAUCUAACCCGCAUAGAAAUCCAGAGCAUCACAACGCCAAGAGAAGAACAAGAUGGCAGCUGGUGGCAUUGCUCGUCCUUUUGUAUACCCUGCAAGAGCAACCCGUCCCCGAAGGGAGGAGAUCAGAGAGCACACACUGCGUGUCAAUAAAGACACUCUGUUCUGUGAAAGAAAUAAUGACGGUGAAAGAAGCAGCCUCAUGUUGUUCAGCACACAUUUAAGUUUAGGAUGGCAGGGUGCAAUCAGACAACAAUAUCCUAAACUUAGAGAAGAACGACAGGGUGACAGAAUCAUCCUCACGUCCAGAGAAGGUACAGUAACGUUACAUCCUAGUGUAAAGAUUCUGGUAUAUGGCCAAGAGCUAAUGGAGAGGUUUGAGGGGGAUUUUCAACAAAUGAAACAAACGAUCCUGCCAGACUCAGAAAAUGGAGAAUUGAACACAAAUGCUCGUCAUUUUCAAUACCCCAGAGGACACAGUACGGGACGUCGAAGGAAAAGGCACAGAGAAAACACACUGCGUGAGAAUAAAGACAUUCUCUACUGUGAUGAAAAGGGUCGUGAUCAACAGUGUAACUUCAUUUUCAUGAGCACAUUUGUAAGAGAAUGGCAGGAUGCAAUGAUUGCCGAGUAUGAUGAACUUACACAAACUCAACAGGACGAUCUAAUCAAACUCCAGGCCGCGCCCGGGGAAGGUACCAUAUCUUUAUAUCCGAACUUAAAGGUUACUGUAGAAGGCACGCGACUAAUAGAGAGGUUUGAGCAUAAUUUCCUACAAAUGAGACAAAAAGUCCAUUUCCCACAAUUGUUGGACAUUGAGGAAUAACAUCCUGAUGAACCCGAGCCCUCUACUACGAAGCUAGAUGUGAGGUUAGCGACGUGCAACUCUCUGUAAAAUAACACAUUAAUACUAUAUUAUUAAUCAGUGUGCUUCCAUUAAUACUUCACUAUAUUAUUAAUCAGUGUGUUAACAUUAAUUCUUCACUAUAUCAUUAAUCAGUGUGUUUACAUUAAUAGUUCACUAUAUCAUUAAUCAGUGUGUUUACAUUAACACUUCAUUAUAUCAUUAAUCAGUGUGUUUACAUUAAUAGUUCACUAUAUUAUUAAUCAGUGUGUUUACAUUAACACUUCAUUAUAUCAUUAAUCAGUGUGUUUACAUUAAUAGUUCACUAUAUUAUUAAUCAGUAUGACAUUUACUUGCAUAGGAAAUGCUGUACAGUUUUCCUUCAAACCACAUUAUGUUUUAUGCUUUAUAAUGAUUUGCUGGUGUCCGUUAUAAACUGCAGGUAUUACAGCUAAUACUAAUACUGAAUGGAAAAUGUCUAUUUUUAGCCUAUUUAUCCAAGAUAAUAGGCCUUAAAAUACUUUUUUUUUUAAGUGGGCAAAACAAAAUAUAUAUUGGAUGUAUUCUUCACUAUGGGAAAGUUUCGGAUCUAAACCCAGUUCAUGAGUAUGUUAAAAUGUCAGUUUACAGUGUGACUGUAAGUGUGCUGUGUGUGCAGCUGUCAGCUUAGAAGUCAACAGUAUUCACAGAGAGCAUAGAGCGGUUAAAUAACUUGUGAAUUCACACUUGUUAUUUUCUGCCAGAAUUCAUCAUGUGCCUUAUUUAGAGCAACAGUAUUGCUUUUAGCCGUAUUAAUGAUUAAUAUUCUUCAUAGAAGUGGGUGGAACGUAAUUGGUUUUUUUUUCGGUAGUUGGGUCAAAUUAUGCUCCCAUCGCCCCCUUUUAUGUGAACUUGCACAGAGCCUGAAGAGGAAAGCCUGGGUUAACUAAGAAAGUUGAUAACCACAUUUGUGAUACCACUUAUCCCAGAUUGCAGUGGUUAGGCUUAGUGAACUUAGUGAAAAACUAUAUCUUGGGUAUGUUUAACAUGCUUCGUAGUACAGGGCUCAGAGGGGAAACACACUCUCCCUACCCAAACCAAAGAAAACUGAAACUGAUGAGAAAUAGAUUUUUCUGAUAAAUGAACAAGGGGAGAAAAAAACAAAUGUACAGUACCAUUAUAAAUAAGUAAUUUUUGAAGCUUUAUCCUACUUUUUUUUUUAUUUCAUAAAUGGGAAUGUAAAAUCAAUUCAAUAUUUUGUUCUGUUUUUAAACACGUUUGUAACGUAUUGUUUGUCUGUACAAUUUCUGGUUCUGGUUACUGCACAUUUGAAGAAAUAUCUAAAUAUCCAAUUGCAAUAUUAAUUCACUUAAGAUGGUACUUUGACACACAUUUUGUCUUACAUUGCACCUCCUGCGAUUUGACAAUUGCAGUGGGUAAUAAUGCCAUGUCAAUAAAAUGUCUCAAUCGUUCAUCUCUAAAUAGUAAUAGUAAAUGUACUAUCCAAAGUUUUUUUUUUUAAAAAGAACUCACUGAGCAGGUGGUAGUUUGAGUCUCUCUCAUAUUUGAAGGUCAGUCUUCCGUAGCUGACAUGGUUGAGAUUCUUCAGCCACUCAAAAUAGGACACAGUCACACCGCCGGCGUUCAGGUACAUGUCCUGUGGAUUGAAACAUCAAACUCAUCAGGCACCUGUCUGUUAGCUUUUUACUUUUCUGUGUGUGAAUUUUUUGGAUUACAUUUCCUUUGUGCUGUUUUUAAGUUUGGUUUUGGAAGAAAAUUAUUUCUCUGUAAAAUAAAAGCUACUGGAAGAAAAUGUUAAUGAAAUACUUUUGUGAGGAAACUUGUAAAUUCAAGCAAAAAUAUGUUGCUUACACAAUAAAUGGAUUAUAGUUAACAUGA